UGGUGACCGUCAUGGUGAUAGUGAUGGUGACAGUGAUGGUGACAGUGAUGAUGAGGAUGAUAAUGAUAAUGAUUAUCUGCCCAGGAAAUUUAGGGCCACCUCUUCUAAUCCUUCCCAAACAAAUUUUAGAAAAGAGACUCAGGAAGUUUUGGAGAAGUGUUUAAAAGGUGGGGGCGGUGAGAUUUAAGCCCCUUUAACUGCCUGAUGCUGCAGCCCCUCCUGGAUGUCUUUACUUGUGCAACACUGUGAAGACACACCUGAAUGUGAACCCCGAAGACGCUGGGGAGCAAGGAAGGCCCUCUUUCUCCGUGAGGGGUACUUGUAGAGCAGAUUCAAGAUAGAAAGUGAGGCAGGCUGUGUAGUGGCAGUGAGCUUCUGAGUGGAAGGGUGCUUAUUGGGACCCUGGGUGUGCCACCUACCUGCAGGGUGACUUUGGGCAAGUCCCUGAACUUCUCUGAGAUUCAGUGUUACAUACUCAAAAUGGGGCUAACUAAUUGUAAUUUUCUCACCACAUUUUGAAGAUCAGAGAAACACGUCUAUGUUAUCUACAAUCAGUGUGUAGGUGCCUAAUAAAAGGCAAUGAUACAUUUUGCUGUUGUUACAGUGGUUGUAGCAGCAGCAAUAGCAGUGGUUGAGAGAUCACAUCACCUUCCGUCUGGCUGCUAAGUGUACAAACAUCAUCCGUGUUCUGUUCAUUCUGCCACAUCCAAUCCACCAGCAAGUUCAUUCAUUUUCUCUGCAGGAUAAGUCUCAAAUCUAACCCUGAUCUGCAAGUCACCCAUCAGGAUCUGGUGGAAGUGGCCAUCUCUUGCCUUUAUUACUGCCACAGCCUCCUCACUGAUCUCUCUGCUUCCAAUCUUCCUUCCACCUUCCAAUCCACUUUAUGCACCAUAGCCAGAGUUACAUUGUUAAACUGCAGAAAAAUCAUGACACUCCUCUGUUAAAAACUCUUCAAAAGCCAACCUAAUAAGAAUAACUGAUAAACAGUGGUGUGCUAGAAAAUGCUGAACUAUAUGGUCACUCCAGGGGUGAGGAAGAACCCUGAUUCCUAGCAUCUGCCAAUUCCUGUGGUGUAAAUAUUCCACCAUCACUAAUUUGAAACCAGGCUACCAAAGAGGUAUGAGUUGAGAAGAGAUGCAGGAAGUUGGCUUUCAGGAGCUGUUUCCAGCAUCUCACUGAGUAGUCGUUGAGUUUCCUCUGUACUAAGCUAGGGCUUCUAUUUCACAGCAUGAUCUCAUUUAAUUCUCACCAUAGCUGUGUAUAAGACAGGUGCUUUUGUUGUCCCUGUGAUACAGAUGGAGAAACUGAGGCAUGGGCCAUCUGGCUCCAGCACCUCGCCACACCGUAUUGCCUCUCUUUGUUGUGCUUAAAAUAAAAUCCAAACUCCUUAUCUUGUUGACAAGACCCAGAACCUGUACCUGUGUUCUUCCACCAUCAUUGUGUGCCCAUACCUACCCCUACACUCUGCUCCAUCAUGUCUGGUUCUUCCUGGUGCAGGCCUGCUUUCAUGCUGCAGGCCUUCAUCCCUUUGUCCCUCUGCCUGGAAGACUCUUCUCCAGCUCUUUGCAUAGCUGGUCCUUCCUCAUCUUGAGGUCCCAUCUUAAACAUCACCUAGCCACCCAUCUUUGUCUCUCUUGUUGUCCUGUUUCUAUCCAUCCCAGAGUGUAUCACACCCACUUAGUGAUUUAGUUAUUUGCCUAAUGGUUCAAUAGUGGCUCCCAGGGGAAGAUGAGGAGUGAGGAGGCGAUCGGCUUCCCAGGGGACAUCUAACAAUGCCUGAAGACGUUUUUCGUCAUCACAACUCAGGAGGGGUGGCUGGUGGGUUACUGGCAUCCAAGAGGUCAAGGCCAGGGACGCUGCUCACCACCCUCCAAUGCAUAAAGUACUUGAUGUCUUCUACCACUUUCAAGGUAGAGAUCCCACUCUGUGACUUUGCAUAUAAAGUUGUCUGUGAUUUAGCCCUUAAAUGCCCCACCACAAAGAAUUACCUGAUCCAAAACGCCAAUAGUGGAGUGGCAAGGCUGAAACAUUUUGCUGUUGGCUGUUUUUCUCUCCCUGCUAGAAUGCAAAUUCCAGGAAGGCAUGGCCUUGACAACUUUGUUCUCUGCUGUAUUCCCAGUGCCUGGCACACAGUAGGUGCUUUAAAACCACGUGUUACAUGACUAAAUUAAAAAGUAACGGUACUGCCAAUCAUCAUCACUGUAACAAUAAUAACGAGGCAUCUUUUUGAAGAGAUGCCAAAGUGUUCAAGGCAGGUAGGAAGAGGUGGAGAAGGUGCUGCUCUCCUGUUCUCUCUGCUUAGCACUCUUUUUGGCCCAAAGACAGGGAAGGAGGGGCAGGCACUUGAUAAAAUCACCUCCUCCUCCAUCCCUGACCUCCCGGAGCAGCCGUCCACUAAGUGUUGCACUUGGCUACAGUUCCUCUUAGUAAUUUGGUUAAUUGGAUGAACAGGCACUUUAGUGACACAGACUGGAUUUCCACGCCGCAGUCCAUCAAAACUAAUCAGUUGGCUGUGUUCCAUUUCUCAGCAACUGACAGCUUUGCCAGGAUGGUGGUAGAUGGUAACUUUUUAAAUUGAAGAACUUGCUAAAUAAUGGCAGUUAGAACUUGGCAGGAUGCUUUCAGAGGGGAAGGGGAGACAAGAAAUCCAGUGUUGGCUUUGCUUUCCCUCAAAGAGAUAAUCUUGUUAAGGGGCCGGCUGAUUAAAAGUUUCUUCCAAAGACAGUGGUGAAAAGUAAUCAUCUUCAAAUUGUACUUUGUUUCUUUUGUGUAAAAAGUAAUUGCAAAGCUUGUGUACUGCAUUCUUCCUUUCUAAGAUGUUUAUUAACAAUUAACAUUGUUAUUUUUAUAUACUGUAUGACUAAUACUAAUGUAUUGUCUUAGUUAGAAUAGUACCGGCUACUAUAAGAAAACAAACCUCAAAAUUUUAGUGGCUUAACACAAGCUAUCUCAAUCCCCUCAGAGUCCAGUCUGGAGUUUCUGGUUAGAGUGUCUCUCUUCCAUGCAGUGAUUCAGGGACCCAGGCUUCUUUCAUCUGUGGGCCUGUUAUCCUCUAGGGCCUCAAUGGCAUCUGUCCCUAGCCAGCAAAAGGAGAAGAAGGGCAUGGAGAAGGCACACUCAAUUUUUAAAAACCUUGACCCAGAAGUGAUGUACAAUAUUUCUAUUCACAUUCCUUGAGUAAGAAUAGUCAUAUGGCUAUCUCUGGCUACAAAGAGGACUGAUAAAUGUGUCCCUUCUGAGCCAUAACUCCAUAUCAUGGAAGAGAGAACAUGAGCUUUGAUGGCCAACUAGCCAUCUUGGCCACAGGUGGACAGCUCACCCACACAACCCUAUGAGAAAUUAGGAUUUCCCCUUCCCUUAAACAAGAAAAGUGAGGCUCAGAUGUGGUAAGCAACCGAUGUAUAUUUAUGUUCUUAGCAAGGAGCCAAGUCAAGAGUUGCAUGUGUAUAGAUUAUAAAGCCUGUAUCUUCCCUCUUUCCCUCUUUUCUCCCUCCCGUCCAUCUCUCUCCCAUCUGUUUUUCUCCCUCAAUUCUUUUGUUUACUCUCUUUUAUCAUUCUAAACCUUGAAAAUUUCUAAAACAUGAACAUUUUGCUUCUGUAACCUUGUAUGUUUUCAACAUGGUUGUUCUUUUUGGUUUGAAGAUUGUCCCCAUUGGAUAUCUUUAACCUAAGAGAUUUGCCUAAAGCAUACUAGAUGAUUUCUGAAGCCUUCAUUUUGCUCUCAAAAGUACAGGAAAGUUAAAAAUGAUAGAAAAGAGACAUUUCUAAAAAGCAAAUCUGAUACUAUCACUCCCUUAUAGAAUAAUACUUGAUGUGUCCCUGUCACUUUCAAAGUAGAGAUCUCACUACCUUAGCAUAUAAAGUCAUCUUUUUAUAUGCAUCUUGACUUAGCAUAUAACGCUGUCUGUGAUUUAGCCCCUAAAUGCCUCCCUGACCUUCACUCAGACCUCAGGCAGUUUUUUGGAAGACCUGCAGCUCUUCCACACCUAUCCUGCGUUCACCUGUCGGCCUGGCCCCUGCCUCCAUACACCCAUUGCGUUCUGUGGUUCCAAAGUAGGCCCUACUGAAGACUACAGCACUAGACUGGAAUUGUUGACUCGUGUGUAGAUUUUGUGUGUUUUCCCCUAUUAGACUGUGGGCUCCUCAAAGACAGGGGCUCGUCCGAUCUAUUUUUAUCUCCCAAGUGUCCAGCACAGGGCAUGACACAAAGCUGGUGCCCGUUCAAUCUGAAGUGCACACAAGAAGGAAUGAACCACUGCUAAGCUGCAAGACAGGCAUCAGAAGUAAGAGGUUUCACAUCCACUGGUAAUUCAAAAUGAGGUAAAGCCACGAUUCAAUUUAGUUGGAACUUACAGGGUGAUGUAGUAACCUUGCGUGUGCAUAGAAGAAGGGUUUUAUAGUUUACAGAGCGCGCUCCUAUAGGAUCUUCUAUGAUCCUGCCAUCAUGCUGAGAAAGAGAUAAGGUAUGGCACGUGUGCUUGUGUGUAUAUGUAUUGUGUUUGUGUGUACAUGUACACCUGCUGCUUUUCACCCCUAACAAUCAUGUCUUGACAUGUUUAAAGAUGCUGGAGAUGGUUUCUGGGUGGGUCGGCUUCAUUGCAAAGGGCAGGCUGUCUCUGUCUUACGGUUGCAUUUCUUUGCAUCGCUGGUCUGAAGAAGUUGUUAGUCUGCGUAGAGAGAUUGCUGAGGAGGCCACAAUAUCCCCAAAUUUAGAAAGGUGGAUGAAUCCAGGGACCUAUGGCCCACUCACUUGUGUUAACAAACAUUUCCAGUGCCGUGCGGCGACCAGUCCAUAGCUUCAUUGCACAAUUGCAGGGUUUUGUAUGAAGGUUUGCAGGGAGCAUGCCAGAGCCUAUUUCUAAACAGUCUGAUGAUUUAUUUGAUGCCUUCGGAUAUUUAAAUAGUCUGCAGUGUACACCGAGUGUCUGAAAUGUUUAUUUUUUCCUUGCGUUAAUGUGUGGGACCUCUCACUACGUCUUGUACACCCCAGGCACUCAAUAAAUAUGAUUUAUGGAAGAUGUAAAUAAAUCCAAACCAGGAUGAUGUCUGUGUUCAUUAAUUUGUAGCUCCAGAAGGCAGUCCCCUUCUCCAAACUUGAAAAAGAGAAAAAUCCUCACCAAAUCACAGAAGAAAAGAAAAUGCAAAAUGUAUGACUCACCGGCCCAAGUAAAAAGUCCUGAAACUCCCUGGAGUGAAAUAAGAAAUUCAUGACUAUGUUCUCAGCUUUGUGACCUUGGGCCAAUUAUUUAACCUUGCCGCGUUGUCCCUUCUUAACUAAACACUGAACUGGAAUGGUUAAACGAUAUGACAGUGCCACUGAGCUUCAGAUAAAUGAGGAAGAGAAGAAAACAGGACGGGCCAGGUGUGGUAACAUAUGCCUGUAAU